GUCCAAGGAGAGCGUGGGAGGACCGGCUAACGGAAGAAGGCAGCAAGACCCUAGAGAAAACAUAAGCCAUGGAGAAACUAAUGGAUUCCCCUGCUAAAAUUUCACUUUGAAAGUAAAGAUAAAAUGAAGACAUAGCAUGAAGUAUUCUACUCUGAGACCCACAGUGAAGGAGCAAAUCCAAUUUGGAACAUCCUGCUAUUGUGACAGAGGGCAAAAUCAGAAGAGGCUGAAAGAAAUCCAUCACAUAAUUCAUUAAAAGUCUCUACUCUCUGUAUGCAAAUGGCAUAAAUCAUAUCUG
rnacentral:lncRNA from 1 species